GACGUAGGGCGCGAGCGUUGUCCGGAUUUAUUGGGCGUAAAGAGCUCGUAGGCGGCUUGUCGCGUCGACUGUGAAAACCCGCGGCUCAACUGCGGGCUUGCAGUCGAUACGGGCAGGCUAGAGUUCGGUAGGGGAGACUGGAAUUCCUGGUGUAGCGGUGAAAUGCGCAGAUAUCAGGAAGAACACCUAUGGCGAAGGCAGCUCUCUGGGACGGUACUGACGCUGAGACGCGAAAGCGUGGGGAGCGAACAGG
rnacentral:rRNA from 1 species